UGGGGAAUAUUGGACAAUGGGCGAAAGCCUGAUCCAGCCAUGCCGCGUGUGUGAAGAAGGUCUUCGGAUUGUAAAGCACUUUAAGUUGGGAGGAAGGGCAGUAAGCGAAUACCUUGCUGUUUUGACGUUACCGACAGAAUAAGCACCGGCUAACUCUGUGCCAGCAGCCGCGGUAAUACAGAGGGUGCAAGCGUUAAUCGGAAUUACUGGGCGUAAAGCGCGCGUAGGUGGUUCGUUAAGUGGAAUGUGAAAGCCCCGGGCUCAACCUGGGAACUGCAUCCAAAACUGGCGGGCUAGAGUAGGGCAGAGGGUGGUGGAAUGUCCUGUGUAGCGGUGAAAUGCGUAGAUAUAGGAAGGAACACCAGUGGCGAAGGCGACCACCUGGGCUCAUACUGACACUGAGGUGCGAAAGCGUGGGGAGCAAACAGG
rnacentral:rRNA from 1 species